rnacentral:misc_RNA from 1 species
AAAGUUACGCAGUAAAGCUGUGGUAUAAUACAGGUCAUAUAUUUUUGCUUGGAUAAUAGAACUCUAGAAUUUUUUAUUUGAAAAUCUCCCAAUAGUUUGCUUUACAAUCAUGGAAAAGUUGUAUGUCUUUACCUUUGGCGUUUUGGGAUUGUUUUGUGUUUUCACCCUUGGAAAUUCUGACCUUAUAAACUGGUGCCGCGACAAGGACGGAUUGAACUGUUGGCGGUACGUGGACACCAAGUGUCUGGGAUUCUACGAGGACUGGGCCAGAGAAAACUGUCCCUACAGAUGUGGAUACUGUCCAAACAAGCCUCCCUGUGAGGACACGGACUCUUCCUGUGAUGCCUACCACCAGGAGUCGUGUACUAACUCCACUACCAGGGCGUACAUGCGCGAGCACUGCAGGAAGAGGUGCAACGAGUGUCACUGUGAGUAGCAUUCACCUACAUGUGACGUCACUUACCUGGAGAGCAUCAUCUACCAAACACACCCCCUCCUGGUGCGACUGGCCCCGUACCUACCGACUCAGCAAUGAAACCCCCCGUGGGCAAGUAAUGGGAUUGAGGAUACUGAGUGAUACCGUCUUGGAGAGAUGAGAAGAUGUUGUUAUAGACAUGAUUGACUAUUGAAUAAAUUCUUAUAAAAAUC